rnacentral:rRNA from 1 species
CCUACGGGAGGCAGCAGUGAGGAAUAUUGGUCAAUGGGCGCGAGCCUGAACCAGCCAAGUAGCGUGAAGGAUGACUGCCCUACGGGUUGUAAACUUCUUUUAUAAAGGAAUAAAGUGAGGCACGUGUGCCUUUUUGUAUGUACUUUAUGAAUAAGGAUCGGCUAACUCCGUUCCAGCAGCCGCGGUAAUACGGAGGAUCCGAACGUUAUCCGGAUUUUUUGGGUUUAAAGGGAGCGUAGAUGGGUUGUUAAGUCAGUUGUGAAAGUUUGCGGCUCAACCGUAAAAUUGCAAUUGAUACUGGCAGCCUUGAGUACAGGUGAGGUAGGCGGAAUUCGUGGUGUAGCGGUGAAAUGCUGAGAUAUCACGAAGAACUCCGAUUGCGAAGGCAGAUUACUAAACUGUCACUGACAUUGAUGCUCGAAAGUGUGGGUAUCAAACAGGAUUAGAUACCCCUGUAGUC